rnacentral:rRNA from 1 species
UACGUAGGGUGCGAGCGUUAAUCGGAAUUACUGGGCGUAAAGUGUGCGCAGGCGGCCGAGCAAGUCGAGUGUGAAAGCCCCGGGCUUAACUUGGGAAUUGCGCUCGAAACUACUUGGCUGGAGUGUGGCAGAGGAAGGUGGAAUUCCAGGUGUAGCGGUGAAAUGCGUAGAGAUCUGGAGGAACACCGGUGGCGAAGGCGGCUUCCUGGACCGACACUGACGCUGAGGCGCGAAAGCUAGGGGAGCAAACGGG